AUGGGACAUAAAAACAUUUUUGUCAGGAAAUUAUUCUUAUCAAGAGUAAUAUGAAACUGUAAAUUUGCAUGGGGUUGUCUGUAAGUUUUUGAUUACAGGCAAAGAUCAGUGGGGUUAUCUCACGAUCAGGGUCAAGAUUAAUUACUAGUAUGAUUGUUUAACGAUAUUUAAUUGACCAAUGAGGAUUAGGUGCAUGUUAUCUUUUCACAUGUGUUUAGAUUAGCCAGCAUUCUCGCAAUUGCACUGAAUGCUAGAGGACGCCAUUUUAGUGUUAUCAAGAAAAGUGAAGAUUUUUAAUUUUAACAACGAUGUUGUAUGCUGCAAUGACGCAGAAAGCAGUUUUUGUCAGACGAUUACAUAUGUUGGAAUGUACAGAAGCAAUUAAUAAGAGAUAACUAAAAAGAUGAUAUAUGAGAGAGCUGGGGUAAGAGGAAUUACUGCUAUUACAGAUGUGACAGAGAGAUUUAGAGUUGCAGCUUGUAUGAUUCAAUGAAAAGGACGAAAACAGACCUGAAAUAAUAAUGGUCUACGAAGAUCAACAGCUCAUACGAUACUUUUGUAAGAUGUCCCAAUUCACUAUCCUCAUUUAUAACACAGCCAACAGCUAAAGAAAUGGCAGCGACGGUGAUUGCUCAGUUGAAUGGAAAAGUGUUGGUUUUUAUUUUCGUAUAACUGAUAGCGUGUUGAUCAUUGGCAGAUUACAGAUUGUAUAUCAUGUGUAGCUUCAACAUUAGUUUAACACAGCUUGGAUUUUCAAAAAAACAGAGAUAUAAAUGUUGCCUUCACAACAUUAGCAAACGCUGUACACUGCUCCCUUGAACCGUCUGUGACAUCAUACCGAUAUGUUUCAGCACAUUUUACGCUCACAGCAACCCCAAUGUGAGAAGAUCGAACUUUAGGUAUUGACAAUUCUGUAUUAGGCUAGACAGUUACGUACUUCUCAACAAAGAUUUUGACCUUGGGCUUGAAUUUGAAUUAAAAACAAGAAAAGACAGUUGUGCUGAUAACUUUAUAGACUUAGUUAUCCUUUCUCCAAAUUUCAGUGAAGAUAAAGAUGAUUGACAACUAUUGGAAUCAAAGGCGGUUUAACAUAGUACGUAAAUAAUGUCGAUCCAUCAGUGUACUGCAACUUGUGAUAUUUAUGUCUUUAUAUUAUGUAAAUAUCUGGAAUAUCUUCUCACAUUUUAAAUAUGUAUAAAUUAUUAGCCCAUUGGCAAAACAA